ACACGGUCCAGACACCUACGGGUGGCAGCAGUCGAGAAUAAUUCACAAUGGGGGCAACCCUGAUGGUGCAACGCCGCGUGGAGGAUGACGGUCUUCGGAUUGUAAACUCCUGUCAUCCGGGAGUAAGACCUGGCUGUGAAUAGCAGACAGGGUUGAUAGUACCGGAAGAGGAAGGGACGGCUAACUUCGUGCCAGCAGCCGCGGUAAUACGAAGGUCCCGAGCGUUGUUCGGAAUCACUGGGCGUAAGGGAGCGUAGGCGGCGUGGUAAGUCAGAUGUGAAAUCCCGGGGUCUCAACCCCGGAACUGCAUCCGAUACUGCCGUGCUAGAGGAUUGGAGAGGUAGCUGGAAUUCUUGGUGUAGCAGUGAAAUGCGUGGAGAUCAAGAGGAACACUCGUGGCGAAAGCGAGCUACUGGACAAUAUCUGACGCUGAGGCUCGAAGGCCAGGGUAGCGAAAGGGAUUAGAUACCCCUGUAGUCCUGGCAGUAAACGGUGCACGCUUGGUGUGAGGGGAAUCGACCCCCCUUGUGCCGGAGCUAACGCGUUAAGCGUGCCGCCUGGGAAGUACGGUCGCAAGACUAAAACUCAAAGAAAUUGACGGGGACCCGCACAAGCGGUGGAGUAUGUGGCUUAAUUCGAUGCAACGCGAAGAACCUUACCAAGGCUUGACAUGCAUCUCUAAGCGCGUGAAGCGCUGACCCUUCGGGGAAUUUGCACAGGUGCUGCAUGGCCGUCGUCAGCUCGUGUCGUGAGAUGUUGGGUUAAGUCCCGCAACGAGCGCAACCCUUGUGACUAGUUGCCAGCACGUGAUGGUGGGAACUCUAGUCAGACUGCCCAGAUCAACUGGGAGGAAGGUGGGGACGACGUCAGGUCAGUAUGGCCCUUACGCCUUGGGCUGCACACGUACUACAAUGCCCAGCACAAUGAGAACCGAUACCGCGAGGUGGAGGAAAUCUGCAAAACUGGGCUCAGUUCGGAUUGGAGGCUGCAACUCGCCUCCAUGAAGUUGGAAUCGCUAGUAAUGCCGUAUCAUCUACGACGGCGUGAAUACGUUCCCGGGUCUUGUACACACCGCCCGUCACAUCCAUGGAAGCCGGUCGCA
rnacentral:rRNA from 1 species